CACAUAAUUAUGUGUCCCCAGUGUGUGUAGACAACCAGAAAAUAUGGUAAAAGACCAUCCCCUUGUUUCUUUCCUUUCCCCAUCAAUAAAACAGUGUCUCCGAAUGAGCCUUUCAGGUUUGCAGUCCUUUAUGACAUCAAAAGGGGAAAGGUACCGCCAUGACUGGCGAAGAGAUCUGCCUGAGUAGCUUAGAUCCGCCCUCAUUAAAACCUGAGCGAGCAGCGCACAGACCGCCAUAUUUAUCUCCUCGCUAGAGCCGUCUGUGCUAACUCGGACUGCUUCAUCAACACAAGGUUGGAUUUGUUUCAAAGCUAAGGAUCAAAGAUGGAUCGAUACCAACUCUCCGUGACGCAACUUCAGAUUUGCAAGACUAACCGCAACAUUAGCAGGUGGUUGAAUGAUGGCCGGUAUACUGAGCCGCAGUACCUGUUGUGAGUAACCAUACAACUUUGCGUCUGGUGUUUGUUCAACCCAAUCGUAAGUACGCCUCUCCCUUUUUCACACUGGGGCUCGGUAGAUGUAGUUUAACUUUCGGGUCUCUUUGUUAAAGUAAGCGUGGGGAGUUGAACAUCCAAAUCUUUAAGACAAAUCCCUAGCCGAAGACGCUUCAUGUGACGCCGCUGCUGUUUUGCUUACGGGCAUGCGUUUCUGCUGUUUUGCUUGGGCUGUCUGUUUACGAGCCUCGCGUUCGCUGUGCUGCAUAUCAGCUUCACUUUGUGUAGUUUUGUUUGCGCUGUGUCUGUUUUAUUUUUCGUUGCUACAGUGUCAAUUCAUUUUGUUGCUAUUUCUGUUUUUAUUCAUUUCAGGUUUAUUAUUACUGUCUGUUUUACGAUCACAUGUAGUGUGAGGCUGUAGUUUCUUGGCCUCGAACCUGUUAGUUCAGGUUCGUUUUCCCACACGGUCACCUUACUAUUGAUGUGGUGUAUGUUGUAGUUGUGUCAUUGUUUCUAUUGUAUAGUGUUUUUAUUUACUGCCAACAAUCAUUCUAGCAUUACUCAUGCGCUGCGUAACCGCCUCUGCUGCAUGUGGUGGGUCAGAGUGCUAUAGCCAGCAUACAGUUUAUUUUGUUUUCUUUCUUUGAUUUGUCGUUUUGUGUUAUUUCUGUGUAAUCCCCGGUUAAUUGUUUUCUCUCCAGGUGGCAGUGAGGUCUCUGUGGGGAACAGGGGAGGGGGUUGGGUGGGUGGGUGUGUGUGUGUGUGUGUGUGUCCUAAUUCCACUGCCCGGCUGAUGCCUUCUCUCACACCCCUCGACACACCGGUGGGGGAACAGGUCAGCUGACAAACUUUCUUGAGGAGUUGGAUGUCCUGCUGUCCUCCUUGCCGGAGGAUGGUAGACCACUUGUGGGUCUUGGUGAUUUCAACAUACACCAAGACAAGCCCCAGGCCACUGAACUGAAUACUCUCCUGGCCUCAUUUGACUUGGAAAAACUACACACCACAGCAACUCACAGAUUGGGCAACCAGCUGGACCUCAUCUUUACACGCCAGCACGUGCUACACCACCCAGCCCCUGGCUGUCUGAUGUCCUUCGUGAACAUCGGACUGACCUCGGGGCAGCUGAGAGAUGGCGGAAAUCUAAAGAUCCAGCAGAUCUAGAACAAGCUGCUGGAUGACAAUCGGUCAGGCUUCAAAAGUGGACACUCCACCGAGACUUCCCUGCUGUCUGUCACUGAAUCACUGAGAUGGGCGAAAGCUGAAUCCAGAUCAUCCGUCCUGAUUCUGCUGGACCUUUCUACAGCCUUUGACACAGUCAACCAUCAGAUCUUACUCUCUACCCUCUCCUCGCUGGGCAUCACAGGAACUGUGCUUGACUGGUUUAACUCCUAUCUCUCAGCCCAACGACACCACAGUGACUGCUCGAAUUUCUGCCUGCCUGGCAGACAUCUCGGCCUGGAUGAAGGAGCACCACCUGCAACUCAACCCGGCCAAGACUGAACUCCUUGUCUUUCCAGCCAACCCUGUUGUUGAACACAACAUCACCGUGCAGCUGGGUGCAACUACAGUAACGCCUUCCAACUCGGUCAGAAAUCUAGGGGUAACCAUCGACAACAGACUAAAUUUCACAGACCACAUCUCAAAGACCGCAAGAUCAUGUAGAUUUACACUCUACAAUAUCAGGAAGAUAAGACCCUUCCUCUCUGAACAUGCCACACAACUGCUUGUCCAGUCACUUGUCAUAACUAGACUGGACUACUGUAACUCUCUCAUUGCAGGCCUCCCUGCAUGUGCAAAUGAUCCAGAAUGCAGCAGCACGUCUGGUCUUUAAUGAACCGAAGAGAGCACAUGUUACACCACUCCUUGUCUCUCUCCACUGGCUGCCAGUUGAUUGCAUGUAUCAAAUUCAAGGCUCUGAUGCUGGCAUACAGAAGUCACUGGGUCUGCUCCCGCAUACCUAAAAUAAUUUAUGCGGAGCUACGCGCCCACUAGAAGCCUGCGGUCGGCUAAGGAACGUUGCCUUGUUGUACCAACACAAAGAAGCACCAAAACACUUUCCUGGACUUUCAGCUUCAUCGUACCAUGUUGGUGGAACGACCUUCCCAACUCCAUCUGUGAAACUGACUCACUCUCUGUCUUCAAAAAAAAAUGACUAAAAACACAUCUUUUCCAUGAGCACUUAACCAGUCAUUGAAAAAAAAAAAAGAAAUUCCUGUUGCACUUUAUUUUGUUUUGAAUAUUAUAUAUAAUAUUAUGAUGCUAGUGAUACUUUUGUAAUACAGCACUUUUUCAUACCACUGUCUCCUAAGAUGAUUCGCUUAUGUUUUCCUCUUUUGUAAGUCGCUUUGGAUAAAAGUGUCUGCCAAAUGAAUAAAUGUUAAACACUUAUUAUUCAGGGGGUAUUAUCUAGGCAGGGCAAUUUUACACCUCUACAUGGAUUCUACCUCCCUCAUUAUUCUGCAUGGAUGCCCAAAAAGUCAUAAAAACAGAAAAUGGAUCCCACAUCAUACCGUGGUAUUGUGACCUACAAAACAGGUGGUGGUUACCCUCAGGGAUUGUCCAAGGAUCAAAAGUCCAAUUAAAAAAAAAAAAAAAAAAGCUGCUCUUUAUGACAUUGAAGGUGGCUGAAUGUGUGUCAUGUCAGGCUGCCAAAGCAUCAAUUAAAGAAGUACAAUUUACAUCUAUACAUGUUACACAGCCCUUUGAACUUUUGGGUAUGGAUCUGAUUGGGAAACUCCCUCACAGACAGUGGCCAUCAGUAUAUAAGUGUAAUGAUUGAUUAUUUGACCAAAUGGCCACAGGCAUAUCCACUUUGAUCUAAGUUGGCAGAGGAAGUCACAAACUGCAUUAUUACCUUUUUUUUUUAUUAUUAUUAUUAUUAAUUUGAGGCACCAAAACGUAUACUCACAGAUCAAGGGAGGGAGUUUGUUAAUCAGAUCAACAAAAAUGUGUCCAAAAUUCUCGGAGUCAAAAGGAGUUUGUGUUCACCUUAUCAUCCGCAGAUUAAUGGUCUUGUUGAAAGGAUGAAUGGGACAAUACAGAGGGCUCUCUGCAAAUUAGUUUAAAAAAAACCAAAGCAGUGGGAUAAACAUCUCAAUGCUGUCAUGUUCAGACUGAGGACCAAAAAACAGAUGACCACAAAGUUUUCCUCCUUUUACAUGAUGUUUGGUCAUGAGGCACGAUACCCAUCUGAGGUCCCUGAACAUUAUAGGAUCGACAACACUGUUGAAGCUGUCAUGGGGAUUGAAGAAAUGACAGAGGGUUUCCUAAAACUUGAUGAAGUUAUUCAAACUGCCCUGACCCACACUGCUCAGGUCCAGAAACAAAUGAACAAAAAAGACAAAAAAAAAAAAUCAUAUUUACAUAUACAAAUUAAAUACAAAAUUAAAUUCUCUGUGAGUGACAGGGUGUGGAGGUUGAAUGUUCGGAGACAGCAGAGAAAAGGAGGAAUACUGGAUCCAAAUUUUCUAGGCCCUUACACUGUUAAAAACAUAGAAGGAAAGAGUGCUGAUCUGGCAGAUAAGAGAGGGGUCAUUUUUACAAAAAUAAAUAUUGACCACUUGAGGCUGCAUAUUGAGGAGACUCCACGUAUUCCUCACAAGAUUGUAUCUGGGACGUCAACAGCAACACCUGCAUCACAAAACAUCUCUGCUGCAUCACCUGUAACCUUAGCUGCAAAUGUGAUAUCACACACCACCUCAGCAUCAUCAGUGCCAUCACCCACCAUCUCAGCAUUAUCAGUGCCAUCACCCACCACCACAGCAUCAUCAGUGCCAUCACCCACCACCUCAGCAUUAUCAGUGCCAUCACCCACCACCUCUGAUGUGGCUGCAAUAUCUUUCACCACAGCUGCAUCUGUGUCACCCCCUACCACUUCUGCAGCUUCUGCACCACCUGUAACUUAAGUUGCAACCAUGCCAUCACCCACCAUCUCUGCCACAGAACGAUCACCUAUAACCUUAGCAAAAUCUAUGCCUUCUUCCUUCAGCUUAACAGCAGUUGUGCUAUCAACCACCACCACAGCAACAGCAGUACAGCACAACCUCAACAGCAGUAACUCAGCAACAGGAUUAACAGUUAUAAACCAAUGUAUCCAAGAGGCUUGGUCAGGUCUAUGUGUUGCUGUCCAGAAUUGGACCAUACAAAAUCUUCUUUGCAGACAUUAAUAAAAUUACUCCAAAUAAUGAGCUUGAAAGUGAGGUAAAAGUUGUAAAAAAGGUCAGUGAUUUAAAUCAUAGACAAGGAUCAUGUAUCAAAUGUUGACUUUAACUGUAAAUCCCUCAUUGUCUUGCUUAAGGUCAUAAAUGUAUACAUGUCGCUUCUUGUAAAGAGAAUCAGUGCACAUUCAAAAGAACAAGCAUUCCAAAUUGACUAAUUUGAAAUGACAAACAUCUGGAAUGGAAAAAGAUCCAAACUAAAGGUUAGUUUAUUCAGGUUAAUUUAUGUUGCAGUUUUGAAAUGUAGUACAGAAAUGUUAUAAUACUCUUUCUGAAUUUCAGGUUGAUCCCACAAUGUACAAAUAUCUUAUUGGCAUCGUGAAUGACCAUCACAACUGGACAGUUGUGGUAAAAACAAAACAUUUGACUUUACAUGUAAAUAAGACACUUGUAAGAUUUCGUAGUACAAUACAGAUAUUGAAUUAUUAAUAAGUUUGUAUAACACCUAGAAUCGACUUGUUACACGAGUUGUGUAGAGACACAGAUAACGGUUUCCAUAAGGACAUAGGGCAAUGACGUUUGAAAUCCUUUGAAUUAAAUUUCAGAGUCUGUGCUGCCAUCUACUGGAAAAUGUAUAACUUGUCAUCCUGACUGAACUUUCGGAUGGCUUGUGUGAAGACGAAAUUCCCACAUUUUUACUGCCAUCUAGUGGAAGCACGGCGGUACUGUGCGCGUGCACGCUAAGGAGGGUAGGCAUCAGCCGGGCAGUUGGAAUUAGGCACAACACCGGCACCACAACUUCCUUAUGGUGUGUGUUGUUUGACGAUUUUGUGUGAAUUAAGGUUUGGAUGACCUUCCGAGUUGCGGCUGGCCUGCCUUGUUCCCGCUAAGCCUGGCACUGGAGAAUUGUUAGUUUUAAAAUUCUUAUUGUGCUUCAUGGGAGAGAGAGAAUCUAUAUUUAUGAUUUUUUUUUUAAUGAUGUU